rnacentral:rRNA from 1 species
AAUGGGGGGAGGUGGGUGAUUUCCGGGGAAGGGGGAAAUGGGUGAUUUGGGGGGACACCCUUGGGGAAGGGGGGGACUGGCCACAAAUGACGUGAGGGGGGAAAGUAGGGGAGAAAAAGAAUAGGAACCCUGGUAGUCUAGCCCUAAACGAUGGAUGUUGGUGUAGCCCGUACCCAAAUCCGGGUGUGCGGGAGUAAAGCGUUUAAGCAUCCCGCCUGGGGAGUACGGUCGCAAGGGUGAAACUCAAAGGAAUUGACGGGGGCCCGCACAAGCGGUGGAGCAUGUGUUCAAUUGGACGCAACGCGAAGAACCUUACCUGGGCUUGAAGCGCAGUGGACCGGGGUGGAAACAUCCCUUUCCGCAAGGACUGCUGCGGAGGUGCUGCAUGGCUGUCGUCAGCUCGUGUCGUGAGAUGUUGGGUUAAGUCCCGCAACGAGCGCAACCCUUAUCGUUAGUUGCCAUCAGGUCAAGCUGGGCACUCUAGCGAAACCGCCUCGGAUAACGGGGAGGAAGGUGGGGAUGACGUCAAGUCCUCAUGGCCUUUAUGUCCAGGGCUACACACGUGCUACAAUGGUCGGUACAAACCGUCGCAAACCCGCGAGGGGGAGCUAAUCGGAAAAAGCCGGCCUCAGUUCGGAUUGGAGUCUGCAACCCGACUCCAUGAAGCUGGAAUCGCUAGUAAUCGCAGAUCAGAACGCUGCGGUGAAUACGUUCCCGGGCCUUGUACACACCGCCCGUCACAUCACGAAAGUGGGUGAUACUAGAAGUCGUCGUGCUAACCUGCAAAGGGAGUAGACGCCCAAGGUAUGACUCAUGAUUGGGGUGAAGUCGUAACAAGGUAA